AAUACGAAGGGUGCAAGUGUUAAUCGGAAUUACUGGGCGUAAAGCGUGCGUAGGUGGUUUGUUAAGUCUGAUGUGAAAGCACUGGGCUCAACCUGGGAAUGGCAUUGGAUGCUGGCGAGCUAGAGUGCGGUAGAGGGCAGUGGAAUUCCCGGUGUAGCAGUGAAAUGCGUAGAGAUCGGGAGGAACAUCUGUGGCGAAGGCGACUGCCUGGACCAGCACUGACACUGAGGCACGAAAGCGUGGGGAGCAAACAGGA
rnacentral:rRNA from 1 species